AAUAUACGCUCGUCUCAAAGGUUAAGCCAUGCAUGUCUAAGUACAAACUAAAAUAAAGUGAAACCGCAAAAGGCUCAGUAUAACAGCUGUAAUUUCUUAGAUCAUAUUCCCAGUACUUGGAUAACUGUGGAAAAUCUAGAGCUAAUACAUGCAAAUAAUACAAGUACCCGUCAAACGGUUCUUGUGCAGUUAUUAGACAAACCAAUCAACCCUUCGGGGAUGUUCAAUCUGGUGGAACUCUGGAUAACUUUGCUGAUCGUAUGGCCUUUGUGCCGACGACAGAUCUUUCAAAUGUCUGCCCUAUCAACUUUGAUGGUAGUAUAGAGGACUACCAUGGUUGCUACGGGUAACGGGGAAUCAGGGUUCGAUUCCGGAGAGGGGGCCCGAGAAAUUGCCACCACAUCUAAGGAAGGCAGCAGGCGCGUAAAUUACCCAUUCUCAGCUCGAGGAGGUAGUGACGAAAAAUAACAAUAUAGAACUAAUCAUUUAGUUCUGUAAUUGGAAUGAAUCAAGUAUAAAUCCUUUAAUGAGGAUCCAGUGGAGGGCAAGUCUGGUGCCAGCAGCCGCGGUAAUUCCAGCUCCACUAGCGUAUAUUAAAAUUGUUGCGGUUAAAACGUUCGAAGUUGAUUGUUGUUCAGCACGGGUGCGGCGCCAUCAAGUAAAUGGCUGCCGUCAUUUCCGGUUGCUUGAACUAUAUGACUGAACACUUAAUGAAUAGCAUUGAUGCCUUUUACUAGGCUAGGUGUCUAUUUAGUUCGGCUUACUUUUACCUUGAACAAAUUAAGGUGCUCAAAGCAGGCUCUUAUGCCUUGAAUAUUUUUGCAUGGAAUAAUGGAAAAAGACCUCGGUCUUAUAGGUCGCAUGGGC
rnacentral:rRNA from 1 species